CUUAAGCCACUGCGAAGUCGAGAAGGGGUAAGCCCUCGGCGCACUGCUCAGUAACACGCGGACAAUCUGCCCUCGAGACGGGGAUAACCCCGGGAAACUGGGAAUAAUACCCGAUAGAUCUGAGAUGAUGGAAGGCUCCCAGGUCCAAAUCCUGCGGGGCUCGAGGAUGGGUCUGCGGCCUAUCAGGUAGUAGGGGGUUUCACGGACCCCCUAGCCGAAGACGGGUACGGGCUUUGGGAGAAGUCGCCCGGAGAUGGAUUCUGAGACACGAAUCCAGGUCCUACGGGACGCAGCAGGCGCGAAACCUCCACAAUGUGGGCAACCACGAUGGGGGAACUCCAAGUGCCUACACUAUGUGUAGGCUGUUCUCGAGCCUAAAAAGCUCGAGAAGGUAGGGGCGGGGUAGACCGGUGCCAACCCGCGCGGUAA
rnacentral:rRNA from 1 species